rnacentral:tRNA from 1 species
GCGGGUGUAGUUUAGUGGUAAAACUACAGCCUUCCAAGCUGUUGUCAUGGGUUCGAUUCCCAUCACCCGCU